UACAGAGGGGGCAAGCGUUGUUCGGAAUUACUGGGCGUAAAGGGCGCGUAGGUGGCCUUCUAAGUCGAACGUGAAAUCCCUGGGCUCAACCCAGGAACUGCGUCCGAUACUGGAAGGCUUGAAUCCGGGAGAGGGAUGCGGAAUUCCAGGUGUAGCGGUGAAAUGCGUAGAUAUCUGGAGGAACACCGGUGGCGAAGGCAGCUCGCUGGGACGUUACUGACGCUGAGACGCGAAAGCGUGGGGAGCAAACAGG
rnacentral:rRNA from 1 species